CAGCCGCGGGUAAUACAGAGGACCCGAGCGUUAAUCGGAAUCACUGGGCUUAAAGGGUGCGUAGGCGGACCCGAAGGUGCAUCGUGAAAUCCCUUGGCUCAACCAAGGAAUUGCGGUGCAUACCACGGGUCUUGAAGUGAGUAGGGGCUGUCGGAACGCUCGGUGGAGCGGUGAAAUGCGUAGAUAUCGAGCGGAACGCCGAAGGUGUAGACAGGCAGCUAGGCUCAUCUUGACGCUGAGGCACGAAAGCGUGGGGAUCAAACAGGAUUAGAUACCCUGGUAGUCCACGCCGUAAACGAUGUACACUAGAUCGGUGCCGGUUUGACCCGGUAUCGGUCGGAGAGAAAUUGUUAAGUGUACCGCCUGGGAAGUACGGUCGCAAGGCUAAAACUCAAAGGAAUUGACGGGGGCUCACACAAGCGGUGGAGCAUGUUGCUUAAUUCGAAGCAACGCGAAGAACCUUACCUGGGUUUGACAUGCAUGGAUUAGUUGGUGGAAACAUCAAUGACAAUCGCAAGAAUGGAACAUGCACAGGUGCUGCAUGGCUGUCGUCAGCUCGUGCUGUGAAGUGUCGGGUUAAGUCCCUUAACGAGCGCAACCCCUGUCGUUAGUUGCUAACGCGUCAUGGCGAGGACUCUAACGAGACUGCCGGUGUCAAACCGGAGGAAGGUGGGGAUGACGUCAAGUCCUCAUGGCCCUUACAUCCAGGGUUGCAAACGUGCUACAAUGGCGUGAACAAAGCGACGCAAGACCGCGAGGUGGAGCAAAUCGCAGAAAACACGCCCCAGUUCAGAUCGGAGUCUGCAACCCGACUCCGUGAAGCCGGAAUCGCUAGUAAUCGCGGAUCAGCCACGCCGCGGUGAAUAAGUUCCUGAGCCUUGU
rnacentral:rRNA from 1 species